CACGAAGGGGGCUAGCGUUGUUCGGAAUUACUGGGCGUAAAGGGCGCGUAGGCGGUACUUCAAGUCAGGCGUGAAAGCCCCGGGCUCAACCUGGGAACCGCGCUUGAGACUGGAGAACUAGAGUUCGGGAGAGGAUGGUGGAAUUCCCAGUGUAGAGGUGAAAUUCGUAGAUAUUGGGAAGAACACCGAUGGCGAAGGCAGCCAUCUGGACCGACACUGACGCUGAGGCGCGAAAGCGUGGGGAGCAAACAGG
rnacentral:rRNA from 1 species